rnacentral:rRNA from 1 species
UACGUAGGGGGCAAGUGUUAUCCGGAUUUACUGGGUGUAAAGGGAGCGUAGACGGUACGCCAAGUCUGAAGUGAAAUGCCGCAGCUUAACUGCGGAACUGCUUUGGAAACUGGCAGGCUUGAGUGCUGGAGAGGUAAGCGGAAUUCCUAGUGUAGCGGUGAAAUGCGUAGAUAUUAGGAGGAACACCAGUGGCGAAGGCGGCUUACUGGACAGUGACUGACACUGAGGCUCGAAAGCGUGGGGAGCAAACAGG